rnacentral:rRNA from 1 species
GAUGAACGUUGGCGGCGUGCUUAACACAUGCAAGUCGAACGGUGAACGAGGGAGCUUGCUCCCUCCGGAUCAGUGGCGAACGGGUGAGUAACACGUGAGCAAUCUGCCCUGGACUCUGGGAUAAGCGUUGGAAACGACGUCUAAUACCGGAUACGAGGCGUGGGGGCAUCCCCAACGCCUGGAAAGAACUUCGGUCCAGGAUGAGCUCGCGGCCUAUCAGCUAGUUGGUGAGGUAACGGCUCACCAAGGCGACGACGGGUAGCCGGCCUGAGAGGGUGACCGGCCACACUGGGACUGAGACACGGCCCAGACUCCUACGGGAGGCAGCAGUGGGGAAUAUUGCACAAUGGGCGCAAGCCUGAUGCAGCAACGCCGCGUGAGGGACGACGGCCUUCGGGUUGUAAACCUCUUUUAGCAGGGAAGAAGCGAAAGUGACGGUACCUGCAGAAAAAGCCCCGGCCAACUACGUGCCAGCCGCCGCCGUAAGAC